GCUCCAAGAUGGACCUGCUGCUGGCCAAGGCCAAGCCCAGCAGCUACCUUGGUAGCGCCUCUGGGAUAAUGUAUUUAAGAAGGGGUAAAAAAUCAACACUGCGCCACAGCAGUCAGAGAGAGGAGUGAGAAUAUGCAAGGGGAGCAGCCCUGCAGACAACCAGGGUCAAAAUGACACACAACAUCUCAAAGAUGAAACUCAAGCAAACACCAAAGACUGCAAUGCCUGACCUGCUUAAUGCGGUUCAGGGGAUACAGGAGAAAGAACAGCCUGGUAAAGGAGAGACAUCAGUAACUAUUAAAAUGGAUGGUGAUAUUCACUGGCUUGAAGGAAAGAGUAGGCAGGUUGCGUCUUAAACAGCCAAGCACUGCUAUGGGCACGGCAGUUAAUCAGCAUUUUUCUAGUAGCUGUUCCCUUACAGUUCCAGGAACCUCCUGUCACAUGGGAGGCCACUACAAAAUUAAGAAGUCCAUUUCUGGACUAUUUCUGUACAAGAUAAGAAAUCCUGAUAUAAACACUUUUCUCAGCAAGCAAGCAACAAGCCAACCAAGCACUGGAAAAGUUUUGAACCAUGACAGUGAACUGAUGUCAGCCAGAAAACAGAAUUCAUCAUGAAUUAAUAAAGAAG